UACGUAGGGGGCUAGCGUUGCUCGGAAUCACUGGGCUUAAAGGGCGCGUAGGCGGGCGGUCAAGUCAGGGGUGAAAUCUUUCGGCUCAACCGGAAAAGUGCCCUUGAUACUGACUGUCUGGAGGGAGGUAGGGGCGUGCGGAACUUCCGGUGGAGCGGUGAAAUGCGUUGAUAUCGGAAGGAACACCGGUGGCGAAAGCGGCGCGCUGGACCUCUACUGACGCUGAGGCGCGAAAGCCAGGGGAGCCAAGCGGG
rnacentral:rRNA from 1 species